UUAUUAUGAUGAUGAUGAUGAUGAUGAUGAAGAUGGUGAUGAACACAUCAUCUUCAUCGACUUGAUCAUCAUCAUCGUUAUCAUCAUCAUCAUCAUCCCCU
rnacentral:pre_miRNA from 1 species